CGCUGGCGGCGUGCUUAACACAUGCAAGUCGAACGAUGAGGCCCAGCUUGCUGGGCCGAUUAGUGGCGAACGGGUGAGUAACACGUGAGUAACCUGCCCCCGACUCUGGGAUAAGCCCGGGAAACUGGGUCUAAUACCGGAUAUUCUCCCUCCGCCGCAUGGCGGGGGGUGGAAAGCGGUUUAGCGGUCGGGGAUGGACUCGCGGCCUAUCAGCUUGUUGGCGGGGUAACGGCCCACCAAGGCGACGACGGGUAGCCGGCCUGAGAGGGUGACCGGCCACACUGGGACUGAGACACGGCCCAGACUCCUACGGGAGGCAGCAGUGGGGAAUAUUGCACAAUGGGCGAAAGCCUGAUGCAGCGACGCCGCGUGAGGGAUGACGGCCUUCGGGUUGUAAACCUCUUUCAGUAGGGAAGAAGCGAAAGUGACGGUACCUGCAGAAGAAGCGCCGGCUAACUACGUGCCAGCAGCCGCGGUAAUACGUAGGGCGCAAGCGUUAUCCGGAAUUAUUGGGCGUAAAGAGCUCGUAGGCGGUUUGUCGCGUCUGCCGUGAAAGUCCGGGGCUCAACCCCGGAUCUGCGGUGGGUACGGGCAGACUAGAGUGAUGUAGGGGAGACUGGAAUUCCUGGUGUAGCGGUGAAAUGCGCAGAUAUCAGGAGGAACACCGAUGGCGAAGGCAGGUCUCUGGGCAUUAACUGACGCUGAGGAGCGAAAGCAUGGGGAGCGAACAGGAUUAGAUACCCUGGUAGUCCAUGCCGUAAACGUUGGGCACUAGGUGUGGGGGACAUUCCACGUUUUCCGCGCCGUAGCUAACGCAUUAAGUGCCCCGCCUGGGGAGUACGGCCGCAAGGCUAAAACUCAAAGGAAUUGACGGGGGCCCGCACAAGCGGCGGAGCAUGCGGAUUAAUUCGAUGCAACGCGAAGAACCUUACCAAGGCUUGACAUGG
rnacentral:rRNA from 1 species